rnacentral:tRNA from 1 species
AAAAUUUUAAGUUAUUAAAACUAUUAGCCUUCAAAGCUUAAAAUAUAAUUCUUUUUAUAAAUUUUA